CCGGGUGAGUAACACGUAUCCAACCUGCCGUCUACUCUUGGCCAGCCUUCUGAAAGGAAGAUUAAUCCAGGAUGGCAUCAUGAGUUCACAUGUCCGCAUGAUUAAAGGUAUUUUCCGGUAGACGAUGGGGAUGCGUUCCAUUAGAUAGUAGGCGGGGUAACGGCCCACCAAAGCGACGAUCAGUAGCCGGCCUGAGAGGGUGAACGGCCACAUUGGGACUGAGACACGGCCCAA
rnacentral:rRNA from 1 species